UUCGGAGGGAGCUAGCGUUGUUCGGAAUUACUGGGCGUAAAGCGCACGUAGGCGGCUUUGUAAGUUAGAGGUGAAAGCCUGGAGCUCAACUCCAGAACUGCCUUUAAGACUGCAUCGCUCGAAUCCGGGAGAGGUGAGGGGAAUUCCGAGUGUAGAGGUGAAAUUCGUAGAUAUUCGGAAGAACACCAGUGGCGAAGGCGGCUUACUGGACUGGUAUUGACGCUGAGGUGCGAAAGCGUGGGGAGCAAACAGG
rnacentral:rRNA from 1 species